AUAUCACUUCACUCUCUCUAUCCAAGUGACACAAAUAGAAAAAACUUAUUUUUUUCUAAAUUUCUUCUCUUAUUUUUUAUAAAAAGUUAUUAAGAGCAAGAACUUUCGGGAUCUUGUAGAUGAUGGGAAUCAAUUCAACGGAUUGUUUUAUAUUGAGAGAGAGGACGCACAGUUUGGUGAUGACGCAUGGGAGGCGCUGCUGCCACUUGAACCAGACGUUGCGGUGGUGGAGGCAAAGGAGCUCGAGGACAACAGAGAUCUGAUCGACGACUUUUUCUUGCGUGAGGGAAUCGGGGUUUGAGCUCCGGGUUGUGUUUUUUUGGUGUCGGCAUAGUUCUUGAGGGGGAGAGGCCGAGCGCGUCGAAGAAGUGGUGGACGAAGACGGCAAAGUCGUUGGCGAAGAAUGCAACGUUUCCAUUUAUUCGACUAAUUACCCAUUUUAGAAAAUUUCCUCGGUGGAUAAUUUUGUGGAAUGAUUAGUGAAUUUUUUAAUCUUGCUUUUAUGUUUGGUGAAGUAGGUUAAGUAUACAAUUUCAUGAAUAUAAAUGUUGGUUUUGGAAGUUGCUGGUGUGAUAUUAUUCAUCUCAGUUUUGGGUUUUUUGAAUAAGGUUCCAUCUGUUUAAGUUUUUGUCUUGCUAGUGUCGUUUAGUUCAUCUCACGUUGCUGGAAUUUUAGAAUAAAGGUUCAAUUUUGUGUUU